CCUACGGGGGGCAGCAGUGAGGAAUAUUGGUCAAUGGACGAGAGUCUGAACCAGCCAAGUAGCGUGAAGGAUGACUGCCCUAUGGGUUGUAAACUUCUUUUAUAAAGGAAUAAAACGAGGCACGUGUGCCUCUUUGCAUGUACUUUAUGAAUAAGGAUCGGCUAACUCCGUGCCAGCAGCCGCGGUAAUACGGAGGAUCCGAGCGUUAUCCGGAUUUAUUGGGUUUAAAGGGAGCGUAGAUGGGUUGUUAAGUCAGUUGUGAAAGUUUGCGGCUCAACCGUAAAAUUGCAAUUGAUACUGGCAGUCUUGAGUACAGUAGAGGUAAGCGGAAUUCGUGGUGUAGCGGUGAAAUGCUUAGAUAUCACGAAGAACCCCGAUUGCGAAGGCAGCUUACUAAACUGUGACUGACAUUGAUGCUCGAAAGUGUGGGUAUCAAACAGGAUUAGAUACCCCUGUAGUC
rnacentral:rRNA from 1 species